AGUGUUCAAUAACAAGGGUUGAAGGUAAAUAGCUUCAAGGAACUGCCAAGACUGACAAAAGAUACCAUGUACCUGGCUUUUUCCGCUUCGUUCAUCAAGCAGCAGGGAUAUAUUCUUGUCACUGCAAUACUAUGGGGACUGAAACCAACGUGAGAAAGGUUCCUCUGAGAAGAAGUCUGAAACUCCGGGACAAAAUGACAUUCCUGUUAUCAACAUUCCGAUAUUCGAAAUGGUUUG